rnacentral:rRNA from 1 species
UACGGGGGGGGCAAGCGUUGUUCGGAAUUACUGGGCGUAAAGGGCUCGUAGGCGGCCAACUAAGUCAGACGUGAAAUCCCUCGGCUUAACCGGGGAACUGCGUCUGAUACUGGAUGGCUUGAGUUUGGGAGAGGGAUGCGGAAUUCCCGGUGUAGCGGUGAAAUGCGCAGAUAUCGGGAGGAACACCUAUGGCGAAGGCAGCUCGCUGGGACGUUACUGACGCUGAGACGCGAAAGCGUGGGGAGCAAACAGG